rnacentral:rRNA from 1 species
ACGAACGCUGGCGGCGUGCCUAAUACAUGCCAGUUGAGCGCUGAAGGUUGGUACUUGUACCAACUGGAUGAGCAGCGAACGGGUGAGUAACGCGUGGGGAAUCUGCCUUUGAGCGGGGGACAACAUUUGGAAACGAAUGCUAAUACCGCAUAAAAACUUUAAACACAAGUUUUAAGUUUGAAAGAUGCAAUUGCAUCACUCAAAGAUGAUCCCGCGUUGUAUUAGCUAGUUGGUGAGGUAAAGGCUCACCAAGGCGAUGAUACAUAGCCGACCUGAGAGGGUGAUCGGCCACAUUGGGACUGAGACACGGCCCAAACUCCUACGGGAGGCGGCAGUAGGGAAUCUUCGGCAAUGGACGAAAGUCUGACCGAGCAACGCCGCGUGAGUGAAGAAGGGUUUCGGAUCGUAAAACUCUGUUGGUAGAGAAGAACGUUGGUGAGAGUGGAAAGCUCAUCAAGUGACGGUAACUACCCAGAAAGGGACGGCUAACUACGUG